rnacentral:tRNA from 1 species
AUUUUUCUAGUAUAACGUUAGUAUACGUGACUUCCAAUCACCCGGUCCUGGUUAAACCCCAGGGAAAAAUA